GUGCUGGCUUAGGCAGCACAUAUACUAAAAUUGGAACAAUACAGAGAAAGUUAGCAUGGCCCUGCACAAGGAUGACACACACAAAUUCAUGAAGUGUUCCAUAUUUUA
rnacentral:snRNA from 1 species